CAAAGAGAAAGGAAGGGUUGC
rnacentral:miRNA from 1 species